rnacentral:rRNA from 1 species
CCUACGGGAGACAGCAGUGGGGAAUAUUGCACAAUGGGGGAAACCCUGAUGCAGCGACGCCGCGUGAGUGAAGAAGUAUUUCGGUACGUAAAGCUCUAUCAGCAGGGAAGAAAAUGACGGUACCUGACUAAGAAGCCCCGGCUAACUACGUGCCAGCAGCCGCGGUAAUACGUAGGGGGCAAGCGUUAUCCGGAUUUACUGGGUGUAAAGGGAGCGUAGACGGCAGCGCAAGUCUGGAGUGAAAUCCCAUGGCUUAACCAUGGAACUGCUUUGGAAACUGUGCAGCUAGAGUGCAGGAGAGGUAAGCGGAAUUCCUAGGGUAGCGGUGAAAUGCGUAGAUAUUAGGAGGAACACCAGUGGCGAAGGCGGCUUACUGGACUGUAACUGACGUUGAGGCUCGAAAGCGUGGGGAGCAAACAGGAUUAGAUACCCCUGUAGUC